rnacentral:rRNA from 1 species
CCUACGGGAGACAGCAGUAGGGAAUUUUCGUCAAUGGGCGGAACCCUGACCGAGCAACGCCGCGUGAACGAAGAAGUUAUUCGUAAUGUAAAGUUCUUUUAACACGGAGGUAAGAGAAAUUUGACGGUACCUUAAGAAUGUGCUCCGUCUAACUACGUGCCAGCAGCCGCGGUAAUACGUAGGGAUGGAGCGGUAGCGGGAAUUAUUGGGCGAAAGGGUUGCGUAGAUGGCAUAUAAAGUCUUCUGUAAAAAUGCUGGGCCAAACCCAGUAGGGCAAAAGAAACUGCAAGGCUAGAGUACGAGGAAGGUAAGCGGAAAUCGAGGUGUAGCGGUGAAAUGCGUAGAUAUCAGUAAGAACACCGGUGGCGAAGGCAGCAUGCGGCAGCGAUACUGACGCUGAAGCUCGAAGGCGCGGGUAGCGAACAGGAUUAGAUACCCGAGUAGUC